rnacentral:rRNA from 1 species
GGGAACACCCGGACUCCGUAGUCUAACCACAAGGAGGGCUCGGCCGAAAGUUGGUCUUGAAACUGGGGUGAUUGAGUUCGGGGUAACAAAUCGCAAUUGAAUUUGCGGCGGCCAGAUGGUCAAAUAUAUGGAAGAACUCCCAUGGCGUUGGAUGCUCACCUGGCGAAGACUGACGCGGAACCGCGAAAGCUUGGGGAGCGAACAGGAUUAGAUGCUUUGGGAGUCCACGCUGUAAACGUUGUAUACUAGGUGUUAGCGGCUAGUCUGCUAGUGCCGAAGCAAACGCAUUAAGUAUACCGCCUGGGGAGUACGCCCGCAAGGGUGAAACUCAAAGAAAUUGACGGGGGCCCGCACAAGCGGAGGAGCAUGUGGCUUAAUUCGAUGCAACGCGAAGAACCUUACCCGGGUUUGACAUGUGACUGCAAGUCCCGUGAAAGCGGGAUUCCUUCGAGGGUGUCACACAGGUGCUGCAUGGCUGUCGUCAGUUCGUGCCGUGAGGUGUUUGGUUAAGUCCAGCAACGAACGCAACCCCUGUGACCA